UAACAAGGUUUCCGUAGGUGAACCUGCGGAAGGAUCAUUACCGAGUUGAUUCGAGCUCCGGCUCGACUCUCCCACCCAAUGUGUACCUACCUCUGUUGCUUUGGCGGGCCGCGGUCCUCCGCACCGGCGCCCUUCGGGGGGCUGGCCAGCGCCCGCCAGAGGACCAUAAAACUCCAGUCAGUGAACUUCGCAGUCUGAAAAACAAGUUAAUAAACUAAAACUUUCAACAACGGAUCUCUUGGUUCUGGCAUCGAUGAAGAACGCAGCGAAAUGCGAUAAGUAAUGUGAAUUGCAGAAUUCAGUGAAUCAUCGAAUCUUUGAACGCACAUUGCGCCCCUUGGUAUUCCGAGGGGCAUGCCUGUUCGAGCGUCAUUUCAACCCUCAAGCUCUGCUUGGUAUUGGGCCCCGUCCUCCACGGACGCGCCUUAAAGACCUCGGCGGUGGCGUCUUGCCUCAAGCGUAGUAGAAAACACCUCGCUUUGGAGCGCACGGCGUCGCCCGCCGGACGAACCUUUGAAUUAUUUCUCAAGGUUGACCUCGGAUCAGGUAGGGAUACCCGCUGAACUUAAGCAUAUCAAU
rnacentral:rRNA from 1 species